GGAGUAGUAACCUAGCGCACAGGAGGCCGGUGCUGUGCCUAGCCCGAUAACUGCAGUACCGUAGUACGCCAGAGGGGGCGAUAGCAGGGAGUUGGCAGCGGUCACCCGCUCUCACAGCGACAGCGCCCCCUCAGGCUGACGGGCGGCAAUACCAACUGCGCAUUAUUAGUAUUACUACUUUCGUUUAUGCAAAGGGAUGAGGAGAGGACCCGGAUGUACAGACACGCAUCACAUAUUAUUUAGGCCUUGAAUGUGACUGUGCUGUGGGGUAAUUGUAUGUAUUAGCCCUAUUACCCGCACAACCGCAAGUGAGGGGCGACUGCUCAUUGACCCUUCCUCUCUCGGCUCCUCUGUGGUGCUGUGGCAGCCCACCCGUCCCAGGCUCCACACAAGGCGACCGAAGCUGGCUGAUGUAACAUUUAUUGACAAGGAGAAGCGAGAGGAGAGAGGCGGUACCGGCAACAUCCAGCAAGCUGUUGCCCUGGCUGCCACACACAGUGCCACCGACCUUGUGACUAGCCAGGUCCCCAGUUCACCCCAUACUGCCUGGCCUGCAUGGUAGCGCCAUGCCAGCGCAUCUUGCCUGCAGACACAGUACACAUGGAGUAGCCUGGCUGCAUGUACCACAGGGGAGGAUGCCACACAGAGCACACCCUCUUCCACACAGACGGCAGCAGCGGCUCCCAGCCCCGUCCCCAACCAGCACACAGGUCUCACUCUCUUACCGAUCUCUGCAGCUCCCCCAGCCAUAGCCAUACCCUCUUCUUUCCACUCGGUUCCUUGGUCGUUGUAGACGGUCUGCACUGCCUGAUUCAUGGUCUGUAGGCCGAGUGUCCCCUCCAUAUCUCAGCGAUGUUGCAUGUAGUCAUGUUUCCCAGGCUUCUGGGAUUGUGCACCCGCAACCUCCUCUGGCCAGAAAGCACAGGCUGCAGCAGAGCGUUUCACCUCAUGCUCUUCCCUGGGCCGCCGGAGAUCUCUCUGCUGUUCAACAGUGCAGCUAGGUUCCGUAUGCAGGCUGUCAGCCACCAUUUUUCGCAUCAAAGCAGCUGCAUGUGACACCACGCAGCCGACCCCCCCGACAAUGCUCCGUUGCCGCCCCCCGCCUGCCCAGUGAACGCCUCUACCUGUCAAUCAGGCAGAGGCAUUCGCACUCUCUGCGCACCGACCCCGACAGGGUUAUUGUAAACUGAAUAACCCCCUAAAUCUUUUAUAAAAACAUAGGGGGUAUAUUUACUAAGGCAUCUAAAAGAGACAAGUGGUGGUGUUGCUCAUAGAAACCAAUCAUUGUAGAAUGCAAUAGAGAAAUGAUAGACAGAAUCUGGUUGGUAAUGGUUGCUAUUGGCAUCAGGACCACUUGACAGUUUCAGAGGCUUUAGUAAAUAUACCCUAUAGACUCAUUUUCAUACAGCAUGUAUAAAUGUGUAAAGUAUAAUACCCAAUAAAAAAUGUCUUAGGAAAUCA